CAGCCGCCGCGGUAAUACCGGCGGCCCGAGUGGCGGCCACUAUUAUUGGGCUUAAAGCGUCCGUAGCCGGGUUGGUUAGUCUCCCGGGAAAUCUGGCCGCUUAACGGUCAGAAUUCCGGGAGAUACUGCCAGCCUAGGGACCGGGAGAGGCCGAGGGUAUUCCCGGAGUAGGGGUGAAAUCCUAUAAUCCCGGGAGGACCACCUGUGGCGAAGGCGCUCGGCUGGAACGGGUCCGACGGGGAGGGACGAAGGCCAGGGGAGCAAACCGGAGUAGAUACCCGGGUAGUCCUGGCUGUAAACGAUGCGGACUUUGUGUCGGACAAGCUAUGAGCUUGUCCGGUGCCGGAGGGAAACCGUUAAGUCCGCCGCCUGGGGAGUACGGCCGCAAGGCUGAAACUUAAAGGAAUUGGCGGG
rnacentral:rRNA from 1 species